rnacentral:rRNA from 1 species
UCCCAGACUCCUACGGGAGGCAGCAGUGGGGAAUAUUGCACAAUGGGGGAAACCCUGAUGCAGCGACGCCGCGUGAGUGAAGAAGUAAUUCGUUAUGUAAAGCUCCAUCAGCAGGGAAGAAAAUGACGGUACCUGAGUAAGAAGCCCCGGCUAACUACGUGCCAGCAGCCGCGGUAAUACGUAGGGGGCAAGCGUUAUCCGGAUUUACUGGGUGUAAAGGGCGUGUAGCCGGGUUGACAAGUCAGAUGUGAAAUCCUGCGGCUUAACCGCAGAACUGCAUUUGAAACUGUUGAUCUUGAGUACUGGAGAGGCAGACGGAAUUCCUAGUGUAGCGGUGAAAUGCGUAGAUAUUAGGAGGAACACCAGUGGCGAAGGCGGCCUGCUGGACGAUGACUGACGUUGAGGCUCGAAAGCGUGGGGAGCAAACAGGAUUAGAUACCCGAGUA